UAGCAGCACAUCAUGGUUUGUAG
rnacentral:ncRNA from 3 species